AGGUAGUAAGUGGCUUUAUCCGAAAAUAAGUGACUUUGAGCCGAGUACAAAGCACCGUGAGCUGCCGGUCGUUUCGGCAGACAUUACGGUUAAAUUUAGUCCACACAAUAUGAGCGUUUUGCCGCGAGGAAAGUUAAGACUAGGCAACAAAACGACUAGUUA